ACUAUUUUGGCAGAUUAGUGCAAUAAAUUUAGAAUUUAUUUAUGUAGUGUUUACAAAUAGUA
rnacentral:tRNA from 1 species